UACAACUAUUAUUCUGCAGAUCCAUGAACAGGGGAGGUCUUUCCAUCGUCUGGUGUCUUACAUGUAUUUCUUCUUGUUCUGGAAUUUUUUUGGGAGAGGUCUUUCAGCUCCUUGGUGAGAUUCAUUCUUUGGCGGGGUAUUUUUUUUUUUUUUGAAGCUAUUAUAAAUGGAAUUGUUUUCCUGCUUUCUUUCUCACUGGCUUCCUUGUUGAUGUAUGAAAAAACCAUUUUUGUGUGUUGAUUUUCUCUCCUGCCACAUUUCAGAAUUUAUUGGAGCUAAAAAUCUUGCAUUGGAGUUCUUAGGGUCUUCUACAUAAAUGAUCAAUAAAUACAAAUGCUUCAUGAAUUUUCAUGUCAUUUUUGCGUGGUGGCUUUGUCAGUCUUCUCUAUUCCUCCAGUUUUACUAUAUAUGCUGCCAAAGUGAGCAUGAUUUCCUUCGUUUUGAAGAUGACUAGCACACCAUCAUUCAUCGCUUCAUAACCUGGUUCAUGUGAGGAGUGCUGCGAAUAGCCUGGGCAUGUCGAUAUGUAUUUGAGGCAUUCAGAGGUGAUGGCUGAUACCUACCAUCAAUGAUAUCAAAGCUGUGGAAGUCUGCACAGAGAACUUUUCCUCAGUUGGGAGUUGCCUAAGAUUUUGUUGGAAAAGAAGAAAUGCAAGUCAGCCAGGCA